GACGAACGCUGGCGGCGUGCUUAACACAUGCAAGUCGAACGGUAAAGCGGCUUCCUUUUUCUUGGGUGUGGGGGGGUGGGGGGCGGGUGAGUAACACGACCGUAACCUACACCUUUGUGAGGGAUAACGGAAUGAAAGUUACGCUAAUACAGGAUAUUAUCUGCCUGUGUCAUCAGGGGACGGUGGGAGAUUUUGCUUCUGUAGGAGAUGGUCUCGCGGCGUAUUAGCUUGUUGGUGGGGUGAUGGCCUACCAAGGCGACGAUGCGUAGCCGGCCUGAGAGGGUGAUCGGCCACACUGGAACUGAGACACGGUCCAGACUCCUACGGGAGGCAGCAGUAGGGAAUAUUCCGCAAUGGGCGGAAGCUUGAUGAAGCAACGCCGCGUGGGUGAUGAAGGUCUUCGGAUCGUAAAGCUCUUUUAUUGGGAAAGAAGAAAUGCGGAAUUAUCUGUGGAUGUCUUGACGGUACCCAAACAAGAAGCGCCGGCUAACUACGUG
rnacentral:rRNA from 1 species